rnacentral:rRNA from 1 species
AACGCUAGCUACAGGCUUAACACAUGCAAGUCGAGGGGCAUCAGGAAGAAAGCUUGCUUUCUUUGCUGGCGACCGGCGCACGGGUGAGUAACACGUAUCCAACCUGCCCUUUACUCGGGGAUAGCCUUUCGAAAGAAAGAUUAAUACCCGAUAGCAUAAUGAUUCCGCAUGGUUUCAUUAUUAAAGGAUUCCGGUAAAGGAUGGGGAUGCGUUCCAUUAGGUUGUUGGUGAGGUAACGGCCCACCAAGCCUUCGAUGGAUAGGGGUUCUGAGAGGAAGGUCCCCCACAUUGGAACUGAGACACGGUCCAAACUCCUACGGGAGGCAGCAGUGAGGAAUAUUGGUCAAUGGGCGCUAGCCUGAACCAGCCAAGUAGCGUGAAGGAUGAAGGCUCUAUGGGUCGUAAACUUCUUUUAUAUAAGAAUAAAGUGCAGUAUGUAUACUGUUUUGUAUGUAUUAUAUGAAUAAGGAUCGGCUAACUCCGUGCCAGCAGCCGCGGUAAUACGGAGGAUCCGAGCGUUAUCCGGAUUUAUUGGGUUUAAAGGGAGCGUAGGUGGACUGGUAAGUCAGUUGUGAAAGUUUGCGGCUCAACCGUAAAAUUGCAGUUGAUACUGUCAGUCUUGAGUACAGUAGAGGUGGGCGGAAUUCGUGGUGUAGCGGUGAAAUGCUUAGAUAUCACGAAGAACUCCGAUUGCGAAGGCAGCUCACUGGACUGCAACUGACACUGAUGCUCGAAAGUGUGGGUAUCAAACAGGAUUAGAUACCCUGGUAGUCCACACAGUGAACGAUGAAUACUCGCUGUUUGCGAUAUACAGUAAGCGGCCAAGCGAAAGCAUUAAGUAUUCCACCUGGGGAGUACGCCGGCAACGGUGAAACUCAAAGGAAUUGACGGGGGCCCGCACAAGCGGAGGAACAUGUGGUUUAAUUCGAUGAUACGCGAGGAACCUUACCCGGGCUUAAAUUGCAGUGGAAUGAUGUGGAAACAUGUCAGUGAGCAAUCACCGCUGUGAAGGUGCUGCAUGGUUGUCGUCAGCUCGUGCCGUGAGGUGUCGGCUUAAGUGCCAUAACGAGCGCAACCCUUAUCUUUAGUUACUAACAGGUUAUGCUGAGGACUCUGGAGAGACUGCCGUCGUAAGAUGUGAGGAAGGUGGGGAUGACGUCAAAUCAGCACGGCCCUUACGUCCGGGGCUACACACGUGUUACAAUGGGGGGUACAGAAGGCAGCUAGCGGGUGACCGUAUGCUAAUCCCAAAAGCCUCUCUCAGUUCGGAUCGAAGUCUGCAACCCGACUUCGUGAAGCUGGAUUCGCUAGUAAUCGCGCAUCAGCCAUGGCGCGGUGAAUACGUUCCCGGGCCUUGUACACACCGCCCGUCAAGCCAUGGGAGCCGGGGGUACCUGAAGUACGUAACCGCAAGGAUCGUCCUAGGGUAAAACUGGUGACUGGGGC